GGAGGACUUGACCGCUGGAAAAUGGGAGCGUCCCUCCAGUGGAGGGAAGUCCUGCGUUUCCAGGAUGUCAAACCUGUUUGCCAGUGGGAGUGAAGGAGGGGGAGGUGGGCGCUUUGCACCAUGUCAGUGCUCCAGUUGACGUGGACUCGAACCCACUGGAGACUUCUCACCACCCCCACCGACGAGUGACCGUGCCUCCACUGGGACUUGGCAAGGAGUAGAAAAGGCCAUUGCUUUGGGCUUUGCACCCAUGAGGAUCGACUGAUCUUCAGGCUUAGCUGAAACAACUUCAUGCCCCGGAGCGCCUGUGAUGAUGGAGCCAAGCCACGAAGGAGUGGGAUCAUAAGCUAGACUCCCUCAAGCUUAAAAUCCUCAAUAAAAGCGACCGGCUAGCCUAGCCGCCAGGCUAAAAACAAACCGAGAUGAGCUAGCAGCAGUGGAGGUAUUCCGGUAAACCACGUCGAGUUGACAGCCAACUUAAAAUAACCUUUGAUCCACACGUCCGAUGACUAAAAACUUUUACAAAUAGCCGGGAUAAAAGUGUAGCAUGAAAAGUGGCUCAUAAACGGGAUAAAAUGUCAAAUUCUGACGGUUUAAGUCGUUGCCUCUGGCGGGCACACACAAUGCCGACGCAUGCGUACAUGAACUAUUAGAGUAAACUACAAAGCCUGAGAAGAAUUUAUUGUAUUGAACAUUUGGCAUUGAACGCCAAAAAGAGUACGAUCUAUUCUUGGUUGGAGAGCCAUGUUUGAGAAGUUGUCGCAUGGCGUUAAUAACACCCUGGAUACUGAGAUGUCCCAAAGCCUGACCAUGAGGAGGAGGAGGAGGAGACUCACAUCCUUAUUGUGCAGCGCUUCCUGCUUUACACCUACAGAUCUUUGAUCGACGUGCUGAACCAACGGUACUUUAUUUCCAUCCCAUGUGAUGAAUGCAAAAAGAGGAGGUGCUCUAGGAACUACACGGUGCCUGACCCCCCCGGCCUGUUGGAUGGCCACGUCCGGCCCAUGUAUUUGAAGUACAAGAACUUCUACAAAUCUACAUUUCAGUGACAACUGGGCAACUCCAUCUGCUGAGGAAGAUCAUGUGAUAGGAUUGAAAGCUUCACAACAGUUAGUGGAUGGAAGUUGUGCAGAUUGUUUUGGUGUUUCCAUGGUCAAGAAUGAACUCUAAUCUCAGUGUAUUUGUUGGGUUUUUGAGUUGCAUGUAGGGGAAAAUGUGUUAUUGCAUUGCUUUAUAUAUCUACAGUUAGUUAUUUAUGUAGAUCUCGUCAUAUUAAGUAGGUCACUUAUGUCUUUUGCCUUUUUAUCAUUCCAGUUGAUUUUGAGCUUUUCUUUAGAUAACAUAAUUCUACAUAAUUAAAGCAAUAUUUUGUGUGAUUUGAGGGAUGUACAGGUUUUGUUUGGGCUUUUUUUAUAGCAAAUAUUUCUGAUGAUGAUCUAUGUCUUUGUAUUUUCUUUUCACCAGAAAUUGUUGUGAUAACUGUGAUCCAGUAUGAAGCUGAGGUCAAAGCCGAUGAUUAAAAUUGAUAAGAACAUGAGAUUAUAAUGAGAUAUGAAAGGAUGGUGAGAAAAUGUAAUGUUGAAAGUAAUUUGGUUUCCAUCAAGAUCAUUUUUUUGUCAUUAAACUUGUUUUGAUACAUAUUCACUGGUGGUUAAAACAAUAAUGGUGAAAUGUUCAAACCGCUUAAUGAAUUUGUCUGUGUACAGCAUGUGUCUGUGUGUGUGUGUGUGUGUGUGUGUGUGUGUGUGUGUGUGUGUGUGUGUGUGUGUCUCAGUAAGUCUAUCAGUCUCUGAUACACUUCACUGAGCACGGUGAGGAUCAUGUUUUUUUACUUCUCCAGUGACAGUGUUUAGCUGUGGUCUCCUAAAGCAGGUAGGAGCUGCUGUGAACAGAUGAAACUCUCUCUCCUCAGCACCACUGUUACUGCUUUGUGUGACAAAGUGAAUGUGAGAGAAAGUAAACGCAGCUGCUUUGGGUUUUUCUCAUGACAAUAAUGGUCACCACUGCCAUCUAAUGUUGUGGCUGUGCUAAAACAGGCAACAGGUAGAGGUUACACAGAACUGACAAUCAAUCACCUGCUGUGCUGAUACGUGAUCUGAUCUCCUCAGUGCAUAACUUCAUGUCACAUUUCCGAUGUUUUAAAAUCUAAAAAUUAUUGUUUUCAUUUUGAGUUUUUAAAGUUUUAACUGUAACCAUCAGGCCACAAGGCUGCUUGUCACACGCGGUCACAAGCAAUACUGGCACACCCUAAGGAACUGUACUGUCACCGUUUUUGUUCCCCACAUCUGACUUCUGCUUCGACUCGGGAACGUGCCACUUAUAGAAGUUCUUGGAUGACUCCUCCAUUGUCGGCUGUAUCACAGAUGAUAAGGAGGAGUAGUACAGAGUCAUAGGAUGGUGCGACAGCAACCACCUACAGCUCAACAUCGGGAAAACCAAGGAGCUGCUGGUGGAUUUUCAGCGCAGCAGGAGGCCCCCCACCCCUGUCGCCAUAAGGGGGAAGGGGUGGAGAUGGUGGACACCUACAAGUUCCUAGGGGUGCAACUCAGCAACAAACUGGACUGGUCAGACAACACUGAGGCUCUCUACAGGAAAGGACAGAGCAGGCUGUUCUUUCUGAGGAGGCUCAGGUCCUUCAAUGUGUGCACUAGGCUGCUACGACGUUCUACCAGUCUGUAGUGGCCAGUGUUCUCUUCUUUGCUGAGGUGGCAUGGGGACUUGUGGUGCCAACAAAGUGGGCAAGCUGGUGAGGAAGGCCAGCUCCGUGGUGGGGAUGGAACUGGACAAUGUGGAGGCAGUGACAGAGAGGAGGAUGAGAGGGAAGUUGAAAGCUAUCAUGGACAACCCCUCUCAUCCUCUCUAUGCCGAGCUGAGCCGGCUCAGGAGCACGUUCAACCACAGACUCAUCCAGCCCCAUAAGCCUCAAAGCGCAUGUAUAUACAAACAGUUGCUGUAUGAGUGUAUGUACUGUAUGUAUAUUUUAGAAAUUUAGAAUUUUUUUCUACAUUCCCUUGUGCUGCUGUGUCAAAUUGAAUUUCCCCUACAGGGGAUCAAUAAAGGUACAUCUUAUCUUA